rnacentral:lncRNA from 1 species
CUCAACGCCAUUCCUCCCUCAGUCCAGCCCGGCCCGGGCACCUUAGAACUUUCGCCCGCUGGCCUAGCGUCCACUUGUCCCGGCAGACGCGCGUGGGGUCCGCGUCCGGCGCUGCCUGUUCCACAGCCCUGCUCCGGCGAUGCCCUGUUUCCUGUUCAACAAUAUAACCGGCGGAGAGCGCUCCGCAGAACUUCCUCCCAAGCCGGGGCUGGGCUGUGCUUGCAAGAGACAAUCCCCGGUGUCCUGGCUUCCUGUCCCCUCUGGGCCGGGCCAGCGCUCUAGGAGCAGAGACGCCACCCUUCCCCCUCUUCCCCGGGAUCCUGGGCCACACCUGGCUGUCUCCGGGGAGGAGGUGGUGGCAGGGCCUGGAUGGAGAUCUGCGGGGGAGGCAGUUUCUCUCAGCUUCUGACCAGAUUAAAACUCCCACUGACCCUCAUCCUUGUCGGAGGAAGUCACCGUCCACUCUGCAGGCAGCCAGAGUGCAGCUGCGGGAUCCUCCCAUUUUGGAAACUACCUGCCUCUUGGGAAAGCAGCCUUAGCACUCGGAGGUGUGCCUGUGAACACUUCUGACAAGGGAGGCACUUUCUGGGGAUGAGAACUCCAGUUUUCCCAUCCCCCUCUAGACAGAGGGUGAAAGGGGAAACUGCCCCCAGAGGCACUGUGCUGAAGGUGGAAAGACUGAACCAAAGACAGCAGCAUCAGCUCAAGUGCCAGGAGCCUCCCCUGGACCUGCUGCCCCCAACCUCCAAAUCCAGUUCCUCUUCCUUUUCUCUGAGCCUAGGCCCCUGGAGAACCUGCCGCAAAGAUGGCCAAGGAGCACCCCACCCACUGGCUGAGGGGCCUCAAGGCCAGGAAAUGAAGCCCUGGAUGUUGUCUUUUUCUGUCCCAUUUUCCUGCAACCUGGUUUCCCUAGGAAUUAA